ACAGUAAAUGUACAAUAAGUGUUACAGUUUAACAAAAUAUGUGUGUGUUGGCGAUUGCAUAGUUGCUUUUUAUUACACAACUGUCAUUUUUCACUCCGUGAAUCAGAUAAUUUUGCUGAAAGCUUUUUUUAUUAGAACUCGGAAAGAUUGCAUUAGAUAAACAUUUUAUGUUUUACUUAUCCAGUGCGCGUAUCGCUUCAAAAAUAGGCAGGUAAAAGUUUCUUCCGGAAGUGUGGUAUAGCGUGAAUUUACGAUUUCACCGGCAGGCUGUGUGGUGUGAUGAAUUACAAGGAGUCUAGGAAACCGGCAAAACCUCCGAAAGGCGCUCAAGGAAGGGAAAAGAUGAAGCAGAUAUUGGCCGAAGCUGAAUUCAAUUUUUUGAUUAAUUCUAUGCUAUUUCAAGCGGGACUUAUUUUAUCCUUGCCCAGAAGUGAAAAAACAGAAACUACAGUGUAAUACACUCAUGCGUCCUUGAUUAUAACAAUAUAUGUUCGGUUCGAUGACAACAUUUUUUUAACGAUGUGCAUAUUUAUUUCUAUAAAAACGGAGAAAUGA